UAAUACCGGAUAUUAUGAGAUUCUCGCAUGAGAAACUUAUGAAAGCUAUAUGCGCCAAGAGAGAGCCUUGCGUUCCAUUAGCUAGUUGGUGGGGUAACGGCCCACCAAGGCGACGAUGGAUAGCCGGCCUGAGAGGGUGAACGGCCACAAGGGGACUGAGACACGGCCCUUACUCCUACGGGAGGCAGCAGUGGGGAAUAUUGGACAAUGGGCCACAAGCCUGAUCCAGCAAUUCUGUGUGCACGAUGAAGGUCUUCGGAUUGUAAAGUGCUUUCAGUUGGGAAGAAGAAAGUGACGGUACCAACAGAAGAAGCGACGGCUAAAUACGUGCCAGCAGCCGCGGUAAUACGUAUGUCGCAAGCGUUAUCCGGAUUUAUUGGGCGUAAAGCGCGUCUAGGCGGAAAAAUAAGUCUGAUGUUAAAAUGCGGGGCUCAACUCCGUAUUGCGUUGGAAACUGUUUUUCUAGAGUACUGGAGAGGUGGGCGGAACUACAAGUGUAGAGGUGAAAUUCGUAGAUAUUUGUAGGAAUGCCGAUGGAGAAGUCAGCUCACUGGACAGAUACUGACGCUGAAGCGCGAAAGCGUGGGG
rnacentral:rRNA from 1 species